CAUGUAUGGCUGGUGGGUAGGAGAACUGAACAGCCUCAUUGGGAUUGUUCCAAAGGAAUAUCUCACCACUACCUUUGAAGUGGAAGAAAGAUGAAGCCCAGGUAUCAGAACCAUUGUCAAUGAACUACCCGAAACAUGUUCUUCUCUCUCUUCUGCCUUUAUGAAGAAACUGAUCAUCAGGAGCUCCCAUUCUCUACUCCCACCAUCUCACCAAUGCCACGGACUCCUCUGUUUACUGAAGAGACCCAAGUCUCUGACACCUUGUAGUGACUGUAAACCACCAAGAAGACAAGUGGGAAGAGGCACAUUCAUCAAAUCUGUUACUAACUCAGCCUAAUCAUAGCUCAUCCCUAUCUGUAAAUGUGUCCACCAUCCACAUUUGCCUUUUGACAGGCUUGUCACGAAGAAGGUGAGAGAGAAGGAAACCUUAAAAAGAGGAAGUGGCUGGUUGUUUUGGCUGGUUUGAAAAGCACAAAUAAACUUCAGAUUUGGUUCUUUGC